UUGAACGCUGGCGGCAGGCCUAACACAUGCCAGUCGAGCGGAUGAAGGGAGCUUGCUCCUGGAUUCAGCGGCGGACGGGUGAGUAAUGCCUAGGAAUCUGCCUGGUAGUGGGGGAUAACGUCCGGAAACGGGCGCUAAUACCGCAUACGUCCUGAGGGAGAAAGUGGGGGAUCUUCGGACCUCACGCUAUCAGAUGAGCCUAGGUCGGAUUAGCUAGUUGGUGGGGUAAAGGCCUACCAAGGCGACGAUCCGUAACUGGUCUGAGAGGAUGAUCAGUCACACUGGAACUGAGACAAGGUCCAGACUCCUAAGGGAGGCAGCAGUGGGGAAUAUUGGACAAUGGGCGAAAGCCUGAUCCAGCCAUGCCGCGUGUGUGAAGAAGGUCUUCGGAUUGUAAAGCACUUUAAGUUGGGAGGAAGGGCAGUAAGUUAAUACCUUGCUGUUUUGACGUUACCAACAGAAUAAGCACCGGCUAACUUCGUG
rnacentral:rRNA from 1 species